CUUGUUGUCCGACAGGCGCGGGCAGUGGAAGCCGAAGUGGUAGCGGCCCUUUUGGUCGGAGUAGGGCUCGCACACCCGAUAGUGAGCCGAGAGCGCUGCAGCAGAAGAACAAAAAGUGAUCAAACGGGGCGUCAUGUACGACGCCGCUCGAAUCACAACGCCGGGGCUCUGUCCCUGAUUGUCAUGGCAACAAAAUCCGGACUCGCCAUUGGCCCGGCGGUGCACGGGACGAGGCUGUUUUCAAUUGUGAGGAAAAAUACAUGGUACGUCUCUUAAGUCCAAUUCAAUUGAACUCCGCGUGUUUGCUUUUUAAUCAUCAGAGCUCAAAAAGCAGCCCCGAGGAGGAGAUGAAGGUCCACUCACACCGCGGACGGUAGACGUCUUUCAGUCGAUCAGCAUCUGAAUAGCGGCGAUCUCUUUCAGGUUCUAAUCCGCCUGCUGCGGUGCAGCCACCUCCGGCCUCCAGCAGGACAAUGUCGGCGUGAAAGGGAAACGAACGGCGCGGCGGGAAGGCGAAAGCGUUUCGUUCGACCUUUCCGCUCGCUACACGUGUCGGGGACAAUGAAACGGAACCAGUUUGCAAUUUUGCGUUUCAUAAAUCUGGGCACAUAAAAAGGAGCGCUGAGCGAGCGAAAAGUAGACCGUAAAGUGUAUUAAUGAUGAGGGUCGUUAAAGGAAGUGUCAAAUUGGCUCCUUCAGGGGACACCGGGCUGUUUUGGCAUUUACCUGCUGGAUUGAUUUUAACACACCGUAAAAUUUGGUCAUAACGGCCCACUGCGGGAGACCGGAACAACAAUGUGGCCCGCGAGAAAAAUGAGUUUGACACCCCUGCACUACACGAUUAUCAUGAAGUCCUGGACUGGCUCCAUCUUUCCCUAAUGUUUAGAAAAUGGAUGCAUGAAGAAACCUACAAAAUGUGAGCUUUUGAGGAUAGGCAGUCUGAAAAA